UAGUCUAAUUGGUUAGGACACUUGCGCGUAAAGCAAGCGAUCCGGGUUUGAUUCCCGG
rnacentral:tRNA from 1 species